GACGAACCGUGCAAACGUUAUUCGGAAUCACUGGGCAUAAAGGGCGCGUAGGCGGCUUGUUAAGUCAGGGGUGAAAUCCGGCAGCUUAACUGUCGCAGUGCCUUUGAUACUGUCGAGCUCGAGGGAGGUAGGGGUCUGUGGAACUUCCGGUGGAGCGGUGAAAUGCGUUGAUAUCGGAAGGAACGCCGGUGGCGAAAGCGACGGACUGGAUCUCUUCUGACGCUGAGGCGCGAAAGCCAGGGGAGCAAACGGG
rnacentral:rRNA from 1 species